AUUGAACGCUGGCGGAAUGCUUUACACAUGCAAGUCGAGCGGCAGCGCGGGGGCAACCCUGGCGGCGAGCGGCGAACGGGUGAGUAACAUAUCGGAACGUACCCCGUCGUGGGGGAUAACACAGCGAAAGCUGUGCUAAUACCGCAUACGACCUGAGGGUGAAAGCGGGGGAUCGCAAGACCUCGCGCGAUGGGAGCGGCCGAUAUCGGAUUAGCUUGUUGGUGAGGUAAAGGCUCACCAAGGCGACGAUCAGUAGUUGGUCUGAGAGGACGACCAGCCACACUGGGACUGAGACACGGCCCAGACUCCUACGGGAGGCAGCAGUGGGGAAUAUUGCGCAAUGGGGGAAACCCUGACGCAGCCACGCCGCGUGAGUGAUGAAGGCCUUCGGGUUGUAAAGCUCUGUCGGGAGGGACGAAGGGGAAACCCUGACGGUACCUCGCAAGAAAGCACCGGCUAACGUCUGUGCCAGCAGCCGC
rnacentral:rRNA from 1 species